UUGAAGUUUGCCUUGUCGUUAACUUUAGAACUCUCAAAUAUAUACAUCGCGAACCUAAUUGAGUUGGACAGGUAUAUUGAGUUACCAUUAAAAAAAAAAAGAAGAGCCUUUUCGAGUCUCGCCUAUUCAAGAUUGGACAAUAAAACUAGGAUAUUGAUCUGUUAUAAUUCCCUGUUUUACCAUGACAUAAAAUAGGUACCCGAAGGGGAAAAAUGUAUAUUCGCUUUUCUCCUUCGGUUAGGCCCAUUUAUAACCUAAAACGCAACAAGAACCCCUUGGUACCAACAAAACUGAAAAUGUUAUACUCAACAUUGGCGUUGUCCUUCAGAACAUAGAAGCAGCAGCUCGGAA
rnacentral:lncRNA from 1 species